CACAUGGAGCAUAACCUAUGGUCUGUUUUACGUUCAGGUUCAGCAUACAGGCCAGUAUCCACAUCUCUUGCUGAAGCUACAAGGUCACACACGAAUACACAUGUGCUCGAUGCUUUGCACAGGUCGGAAGCUGCCAGCUCAUUCACAGAAUUGCAAACUCGUGGCUCAUCGAAUAUACCAGUAUCUGCAUCCCUUGCUGGAGUUACAAGGCCACACACGGAACCACACGUACUUG
rnacentral:lncRNA from 1 species